rnacentral:rRNA from 1 species
GCUUGUCUCAAAGAUUAAGCCAUGCAUGUCUAAGUAUAAAUAACUACACAGUAAAACUGCGAAUGGCUCAUUAAAACAGUUAUAGUUUAUUUGAUACAUUUUAAAUGGAUAACUGUAGAAACACUAGAGCUAAUACAUGCAUCAAACCCCGACUUCUGGAAGGGGUGUAUUUAUUAGAUGGAAACCAAUGCAGGGCAACCUGGAAUAUGGUGAUUCAUAAUAACUCGCGGAUCGGUUUACCGAUGCAUCAUUCAAGUUUCUGCCCUAUCAGCUUUGGAUGGUAGGGUAUUGGCCUACCAUGGCUUUAACGGGUAACGGAGAAUUAGGGUUCGAUUCCGGAGAGGGAGCCUGAGAAAUGGCUACCACAUCCAAGGAAGGCAGCAGG